rnacentral:rRNA from 1 species
GGUUAAGUGACUAAGCGUACACGGUGGAUGCCUAGGCAGUCAGAGGCGAUGAAGGGCGUGCUAAUCUGCGAAAAGCGUCGGUAAGGUGAUAUGAACCGUUAUAACCGGCGAUGUCCGAAUGGGGAAACCCAGUGUGAUUCGUCACACUAUCGUUAACUGAAUACAUAGGUUAACGAGGCGAACCGGGGGAACUGAAACAUCUAAGUACCCCGAGGAAAAGAAAUCAACCGAGAUUCCCCCAGUAGCGGCGAGCGAACGGGGAGCAGCCCAGAGUCUGAAUCAGCUUGUGUGUUAGUGGAACGGUCUGGAAAGUCCGACGGUACAGGGUGAUAGUCCCGUACACCAAAAUGCACAGGUUGUGAACUCGAAGAGUAGGGCGGGACACGUGGUAUCCUGUCUGAAUAUGGGGGGACCAUCCUCCAAGGCUAAAUACUCCUGACUGACCGAUAG